ensembl:lncRNA
AGAGGGAGAGAGAUGUAGAGAGGGAGAGAGAUGUAGAGAGGGAGAGAGAUGUAGAGAGAGAGAGAGAUGUAGAGGGAGAGAGAUGUAGAGAGGGGGAGAGAUGUAGAGGGAGAGAGAUGAUGUAGAGAGAUGUUUAGAGGGAGAGAGAUGAGGGAGAGAUGUAGAGGGAGAGAGAGAUGUAGAGAGAGAGAGAGGAUGUAGAGAGGGAGAGAUGUAGAGGGAGAGAUGAUGUAGAGAGGGAGAGAGAUGUAGAGGGAGAGAGAUGUAGAGGGAGAGAGAUAUGUAGAGAGGGAGAGAGAUGUAGAGAGGGAGAGAUGAUGUAGAGAGAGAGAUGUAGAGGGAGAGAGAUGUACAGAGAGAGAGAUGUAGAGGGAGAGAGAUGUAGAGGAGGAGAGAUGUAGAGAGGGAGAGAGAUGUAGAGAGGGAGAGAUGAUGUAGAGAGAGAGAUGUAGAGGGAGAGAGAUGUACAGAGAGAGAGAUGUAGAGGGAGAGAGAUGUAGAGGGAGAGAGAUGUAGAGAGGGAGAGAGAUGUAGAGAGGGAGAGAGAUGUAGAG